UGGAAGUCCAAAAUGGACGUCUAUUUGUGUUAUUUUUCUUUCGAGUGAAGCAUAAACUUCUUAUGUGGAAGUUCAAAGCUUGGCCUGGUCUGCAUGCCGGCUUUGUCAAUGAGAAAAGCUUGAUAGGCUCAGGCCGGAUUAGGUUAGGCUGGUCUGUUGUGCACCUCUUGUUUAUAUUUUUAACCAUCAUUAGGGGGUCAAAAUACAAUUAAGUAAAAUUUAAAUAUAUUCAUGUCGUCUAAUUUCUAUCUCCACAUAGAAUUUUUGACUUUUUUAUAGUAGAGAG
rnacentral:lncRNA from 1 species